AAUACACAUUGUUCUACCAAAGACAGCAGGUGCCUUGCGGCGUAAAGUUUAACUGCCUGCCGAGGAAAGAGCAUACGGGCGAACAGCCUUAUUGUAUGUAUGUUACCUUCCUCGCUUUGAGGAAGGUUUUCUUUAUU
rnacentral:sRNA from 1 species